UUGAACGCUGGCGGCAUGCCUUACACAUGCAAGUCGAACGGUAACAGGUCUUUCGGGAUGCUGACGAGUGGCGAACGGGUGAGUAAUACAUCGGAACGUGCCUAGUAGUGGGGGAUAACUACUCGAAAGAGUGGCUAAUACCGCAUGAGAUCUAUGGAUGAAAGCAGGGGACCUUUGGGCCUUGUGCUACUAGAGCGGCCGAUGGCAGAUUAGGUAGUUGGUGGGAUAAAAGCUUACCAAGCCUACGAUCUGUAGCUGGUCUGAGAGGACGAUCAGCCACACUGGGACUGAGACACGGCCCAGACUCCUACGGGAGGCAGCAGUGGGGAAUUUUGGACAAUGGGCGCAAGCCUGAUCAGCAAUGCCGCGUGCAGGAUGAAGGCCUUCGGGUUGUAAACUGCUUUUGUACGGAACGAAAAGUCUUGGGUUAAUACCCUGGGAUCAUGACGGUACCGUAAGAAUAAGCACCGGCUAACUACGUG
rnacentral:rRNA from 1 species